rnacentral:rRNA from 1 species
UCGAGGAUCUUCGGCAAUGGGCGCAAGCCUGACCGAGCGACGCCGCGUGUGCGAUGAAGGCCUUCGGGUUGUAAAGCACUGUCGAGGGGGAGGAAGCCGAAAGGUUGACCUAUCCCUGGAGGAAGCACGGGCUAAGUUCGUGCCAGCAGCCGCGGUAAGACGAACCGUGCGAACGUUGUUCGGAAUCACUGGGCUUAAAGGGCGCGUAGGCGGGCAACCAAGUCCGGGGUGAAAUCCUCCAGCUUAACUGGAGAAGUGCCUCGGAUACUGGUGGCCUCGAGGAUGGUAGGGGCAUCUGGAACUAGCGGUGGAGCGGUGAAAUGCGUUGAUAUCGCUAGGAACUCCGGUGGCGAAGGCGAGGUGCUGGACCAUUUCUGACGCUGAGGCGCGAAAGCCAGGGGAGCGAACGGGAUUAGAUACCCCCGUAGUCC